GACGAACGCUGGCGGCGUGCUUAACACAUGCAAGUCGAACGGAAAGGCCCUGCUUUUGUGGGGUGCUCGAGUGGCGAACGGGUGAGUAACACGUGAGUAACCUGCCCUUGACUUUGGGAUAACUUCAGGAAACUGGGGCUAAUACCGGAUAGGAGCUCCUGCUGCAUGGUGGGGGUUGGAAAGUUUCGGCGGUUGGGGAUGGACUCGCGGCUUAUCAGCUUGUUGGUGGGGUAGUGGCUUACCAAGGCUUUGACGGGUAGCCGGCCUGAGAGGGUGACCGGCCACAUUGGGACUGAGAGACGGCCCAGACUCCUACGGGAGGCAGCAGGGGGGAAUAUUGCACAAUGGGCGGAAGCCUGAUGCAGCAACGCCGCGUGCGGGAUGACGGCCUUUGGGUUGUAAACCGCUUUCGCCUGUGACGAAGCGUGAGUGACGGGAAUGGGGAAAGAAGCACCGGCUAACUACGUG
rnacentral:rRNA from 1 species